rnacentral:rRNA from 1 species
GACGAACCGUGCGAACGUUGUUCGGAAUCACUGGGCUUAAAGGGAGCGUAGGCGGGCCAUCAAGUCAGGGGUGAAAUCCCGCGGCUCAACCGCGGAAGUGCCUCUGAUACUGGCGGCCUCGAGGGGUGCAGGGGCGUGCGGAACUCAGGGUGGAGCGGUGAAAUGCGUAGAUAUCCUGAGGAACACCGGUGGCGAAAGCGGCGCGCUAGACACCUACUGACGCUGAGGCUCGAAAGCCAGGGGAGCAAACGGG